CACUUAUCAAGAGAGGUGGAGGGACCGGCCCUGUGAAGCCCAGCAACCUGUAUAUAUUUUAUUACAAGGUGCUAAUUCCUACAGCGCUAGCUGAGAGAUGAGAA
rnacentral:ncRNA from 2 species